rnacentral:misc_RNA from 1 species
CAUCAUCUCAAUUUCAAUCUUUUUGUUUGGAAUUGGAGCUGGACGUUGUUGUGAUGUGUUGGUCAUGACUCGUCCUAAAUGCAUGAGCGAUCUGUCUUUGAUCACACACAAUGUGAUAAGAAAAAGCAUUGUUAUCAUCAAGUCAGGAUGGCUUCUAACUGUCGAAAGACAACAGCAUGUCCUUGUAUAUGCGCAUCUAA